rnacentral:rRNA from 1 species
UACGUAGGUCCCGAGCGUUGUCCGGAUUUAUUGGGCGUAAAGCGAGCGCAGGUGGUUUAUUAAGUCUGGUGUAAAAGGCAGUGGCUCAACCAUUGUAUGCAUUGGAAACUGGUAGACUUGAGUGCAGAAGAGGAGAGUGGAACUCCAUGUGUAGCGGUGAAAUGCGUAGAUAUAUGGAAGAACACCAGUGGCGAAAGCGGCUCUCUGGUCUGUAACUGACGCUGAGGGUCGAAAGCGUGGGUAGCAAACAGG